rnacentral:rRNA from 1 species
GACGAACGCUGGCGGCGUGCUUAACACAUGCAAGUCGAACGGAAAGGCCCUGCUUUUGUGGGGUGCUCGAGUGGCGAACGGGUGAGUAACACGUGAGUAACCUGCUCUUGACUUUGGGAUAACUUCAGGAAACUGGGGCUAAUACAGGAUAGGAGAUCAUGCUGCAUGGUGGGGGUUGGAAAGUUUCGGCGGGUGGGGUUGGAUGCGCGGCUUAUCAGCUUGUUGGUGGGGUAGUGGCUUACCAAGUAUUUGACGGGUAGCCGGCCUGGGAGGGUGACCGGCGACAUUGGGACUGAGGUAGGCCCCAGUGUCGUACGGUGGGCAACGGUGGGAAGUAUUGUACAGUGGGCGGAAGUCUGAUGCGGCAACCCCGCGUUUGUGAUGACGUCCUUCGGGUUGUAAACCGCUUUCGCCUGUGACGAAGCGUUAGUGACGGUACUGAGUGAAGAAGCACCGGCUAACUACGUG